UAGUAGCGGCGAGCGAACGGGGAGCAGCCCUUAAGCUGUUUAGAAUUUAGUGGAAUCCUUUGGGAAGAGGAGCGAUACAAGGUGAUAGCCCUGUACACGACGGAUUCUUUACAGUGAAAUCGAGUAGGUCGGGACACGUGUUAUCUUGACUGAAUGUGGGGGGACCAUCCUCCAAGGCUAAAUACUACUAACUGACCGAUAGUGAACCAGUACCGUGAGGGAAAGGCGAAAAGAACCCCUGUGAGGGGAGUGAAAUAGAUCCUGAAACCGUAUGCGUACAAGCAGUCGGAGCGGACUUGUUCCGUGACGGCGUACCUUUUGUAUAAUGGGUCAUCGACUUGGUCUAUCUAGCAAGCUUAAGCCGUUAGGUGUAGGCGCAGCGAAAGCGAGUCUUAAUAGGGCGAAUGAGUUAGGUGGAUCAGACCCGAAACCGAGUGAUCUAGGCAUGGCCAGGUUGAAGGUAAGGUAACACUUACUGGAGGACCGAACCCACAUCUGUUGAAAAAGAUCGGGAUGAGCUGUGCCUAGGGGUGAAAGGCCAAUCAAACUCGGAGAUAGCUGGUUCUCUGCGAAAUCUAUUUAGGUAGAGCGUCAUCCGAAUACCCUCGGGGGUAGAGCACUGGAUGGGUAAUGGGGCCCCACAGGCUUACUGAUCCUAACCAAACUCCGAAUACCGAGGAGUACUAGAUGGCAGACACACUGCGGAUGCUAACGUCCGUAGUGGAGAGGGAAACAACCCUGACCUACAGCUAAGGCCCCCAAUUCAUGGCUAAGUGGGAAAGCAGGUGGGACGACCAAAACAACCAGGAGGUUGGCUUAGAAGCAGCCACCCUUUAAAGAAAGCGUAAUAGCUCACUGGUCGAGUCGGCCUGCGCGGAAGAUGUAACGGGGCUAAACUGGUAACCGAAGCUGUGGAUGCGUGUUUACACGCAUGGUAGAGGAGCGUUCUGUACGCUGUUGAAGGUGAAUCGAGAGGUUUGCUGGAGGUAUCAGAAGUGCGAAUGCUGACAUGAG
rnacentral:rRNA from 1 species